GGUCACUGCUAUCGGUGUUCGUCUAAGCCAUGCGAGUCAUAUGUUCUUUGGAACAUGGCGUACUGCUCAGUAACACGUGGAUAACCUGCCCUUGGGUCCGGCAUAACCCCGGGAAACUGGGGAUAAUACCGGAUAACGCAUAUAUGCUGGAAUUCUUUAUGCGUGAAACGGAUUCGUCUGCCCAAGGAUGGGUCUGCGGCCUAUCAGGUAGUAGUGGGUGUAAUGUACCUACUAGCCGACGACGGGUACGGGUUGUGAGAGCAAGAGCCCGGAGAUGGAUUCUGAGACAUGAAUCCAGGCCCUACGGGGCGCAGCAGGCGCGAAAACUUUACAAUGCGGGAAACCGUGAUAAGGGGACACCGAGUGCCAGCAUCAUAUGCUGGCUGUCCGGGUGUGUAAAAUACACCUGUUAGCAAGGGCCGGGCAAGACCGGUGCCAGCCGCCGCGGUAACACCGGCGGCCCGAGUGGUGAUCGUGAUUAUUGGGUCUAAAGGGUCCGUAGCCGGUUUGGUCAGUCCUCCGGGAAAUCUGACGGCUUAACCGUUAGGCUUUCGGGGGAUACUGCCAGACUUGGAACCGGGAGAGGUAAGAGGUACUACAGGGGUAGGAGUGGAAUCUUGUAAUCCCUGUGGGACCACCUGUGGCGAAGGCGUCUUACCAGAACGGGUUCGACGGUGAGGGACGAAAGCUGGGGGCACGAACCGGAUUAGAUACCCGGGUAGUCCCAGCCGUAAACGAUGCUCGCUAGGUGUCAGGCAUGGCGCGACCGUGUCUGGUGCCGCAGGGAAGCCGUGAAGCGAGCCACCUGGGAAGUACGGCCGCAAGGCUGAAACUUAA
rnacentral:rRNA from 1 species